AUGGUAUGCUUUACCUAUGGAGGCCCUGGUCACUACGUCGGUAAUUGCAUUCAGAAGAAAACCUGCUUCAUCUGUGGAUUGGAGGGGCACAAUGUCAACAAUUGCGCGGCCUGGGCGCAACCUCAUCCAGUUGCCACAUUCUUCGGUAGUUCUGCUCAGGGGCUGGGAUUUUAUCACAUUGACGCUCCUGUGGGUCGAGAAGCAAAUUGGCUGAACUUCAGAAACUGCGGGGAAGUGUGGGUCAUGAAAGGUGAAAUCAACAAGGCCGAUCUGGUUAAGAAUUUGUCUGGUAUAUUCUGCAAUAAGCAAUGGACAUGGCAGAUCAGGCCAUUGACAGAGAAGAAGUUCCUGGUCGGAUUCCCACCCUGGAAAGAUGUGGAAGAGCUGAUUGAAUUUCCUGCCUUCGACUUGCCUAUCGAUGGAGUGUCUGUGUCUGUUGAGAAAUGGACCGGUGCAAUUGACCCAUUCAGCGAGCUUACUGAAGCCUGGGUUGUUAUUGAGGGGUUGUCAUCUAAAUGGUGCACAUGGAAGGUCCUGUCACAGAUUGCUUCCUGCUUUGGAAUCCUUGUGGAUGUAGAUUGGAAUGGCCUAAUGAAGAGUUUUUAUGAGAAAGUGAGAGUCAAGAUUGCUUGCAGGGACCCAGCUAAGAUCCCCUUCGAACGGAUCAUGGAGAUGAGGAAAAAACUUUAUAUCUUAUCCUUUAUAGUGGAAGGUUUUCAUCAGAUAGGGGUUGAUGAUCCUAAUGAUGACAAUGGGCCUACUGACAUAUCUGUAGACGAUGACAAAAAAGCAAUUGAUGAUGAGGAGCUG
rnacentral:rRNA from 1 species